rnacentral:rRNA from 1 species
CCUACGGGAGGCAGCAGUGAGGAAUAUUGGUCAAUGGGCGCGAGCCUGAACCAGCCAAGUCGCGUGAGGGAGGACGGCCCUACGGGUUGUAAACCUCUUUUGCAGGGGAGCAACGGGCGUUACGUGUGGCGCCACUGAGAGUACCCGGAGAAAACGCAUCGGCUAACUCCGUGCCAGCAGCCGCGGUAAUACGGAGGUUGCGAGCGUUACCCGGAUUUAUUGGGUUUAAGGGGUGCGUAGGCGGAUCGUUAAGUCAGUGGUCAAUGUGCGGGGCUAAACCCCUUCCCGCCACUGAAACUGGCGUGCUUGAGUGGAAGAGAAGUAUGCGGAAUGCGUGGUGUAGCGGUGAAAUGCAUAGAUAUCACGCAGAACCCCGAUUGCGAAGGCAGCAUGCCGGCUUCCGACUGACGCUGAAGCACGAAAGCGUGGGGAUCGAACAGGAUUAGAUACCCCAGUAGUC